GACGAACGCUGGCGGCGUGCCUAAUGCAUGCAAGUCGAGCGGGCUACGAUCUUCGGAUUGUAGCUUAGCGGCGAACGGGUGAGUAAUAUAUCGGAACGUGCCCAGUCGUGGGGGAUAACGUAGCGAAAGCUACGCUAAUACCGCAUACGAUCUACGGAUGAAAGCGGGGGAUCGCAAGACCUUACGUUAUAGGAGCGGCCGAUAUCUGAUUAGCUAGUUGGUGGGGUAAAGGCCUACCAAGGCGACGAUCAGUAGCUGGUCUGAGAGGACGACCAGCCACACUGGGACUGAGACACGGCCCAGACUCCUACGGGAGGCAGCAGUGGGGAAUUUUGGACAAUGGGCGAAAGCCUGAUCCAGCCAUGCCGCGUGCAGGAAGAAGGCCUUCGGUUGUAACUGCUUAGUCUUAGGAAAAGGGUAGGCGAGGUUAAGUAACCUCGUGCUUGUAUGGUACUGGAAGAAUAAGACCGGCUAACUACGUGCCAGCAGCCGCGGU
rnacentral:rRNA from 1 species